GACCAGGAAAUUACUGAGCAUAACUUUAAAAAUUGUUCUUUCAUGAGCCAAAGAUUUUGCUUUUUCCUACAGGAUUUCUAAGGUGAUGUUCAGUGGGCCAUACAAAAUAUUCAACAGUACAAUGGGACCAGGAUAUUUCAGCCUGAAAUGGACCCCGUCUCAGAGGGAAGAUGGAGAAAGCCAUCCCAUCUGUUUUGUCGUCACUGCAGUUCACAAUGGGGCCAGUUAUCAGUCAGACCUACGAUGUGUCAUUGUGAGUGUUGUGGAUCGUGUGGUGCUAUCCACUCCAGAGGGACUCUAUCUGCCCUGGUUCCUGCCUCCAACCCCAGACAACAGAGCUCGGCUGUACACCGGUGUCAAUCAGACGGUGGAAAUCAGAAUCAUAGCUGAGACCUACAUCUCCACUAUUUCUAAGCUGAUGUUCAGUGGGCCAUACAACAUAAUUAAAGACACAAUGGGACCAGGAUAUUUCAGCCUGAAAUGGACCCCGUUUCAGAAGGAAGAUGGAGAAAGCCAUCCCAUCUGUUUUGUCGUCACUGCAGUUCACAAGUCAGCGUCUACAUUGUUCUCAUUAACUUACAGAUCUGUGAACAUGAUCAUGCUACAGUGUUAA
ensembl:lncRNA